UACGGGGGGGGCAAGCGUUGUUCGGAAUUACUGGGCGUAAAGGGCUUGUAGGUGGCCAACUAAGUCAGACGUGAAAUCCCUCAGCUUAACUGGGGAACUGCUUCUGAUACUGGAUGGCUAGAGAUUGGGAGAGGGACGCGGAAUUCCAGGUGUAGCGGUGAAAUGCGUAGAUAUCUGGAGGAACACCGGUGGCGAAGGCGGCGUCCUGGACCAACACUGACACUGAAAAGCGAAAGCCAGGGGAGCAAACGGG
rnacentral:rRNA from 1 species